rnacentral:tRNA from 1 species
GGGGAUGUAGCUCAGGGGCAGAGCUAGUGCAUACUGUGCAAGGCCCUGGGUUCCAUCCCCAGCACUGCAA